rnacentral:rRNA from 1 species
UACGGAGGGGGCUGGCGUUGUUCGGAAUUACUGGGCGUAAAGCGCACGUAGGCGGCUUUGUAGGUUAGAGGUGAAAGCCCAGAGCUCAACUCUGGAAUUGCCUUUAAGACUGCAUCGCUUGAAUCAUGGAGAGGUGAGUGGAAUUCCGAGUGUAGAGGUGAAAUUCGUAGAAAUUCGGAAGAACACCAGUGGCGAAGGCGACUCACUGGACAUGUAUUGACGCUGAGGUGCGAAAGCGUGGGGAGCAAACAGG